rnacentral:rRNA from 1 species
CAUAUUGACGAAAGUUGAAAGGUAGUAAUCCGUCUAAAGGAUGAGCCCGCGUCCGAUUAGCUAGUUGGUAGAGUAAAAGCCUACCAAGGCGACGAUCGGUAGCUGGUCUGAGAGGAUGAUCAGCCACGAAUGGGACUGAGACCACGGCCCAUACUCCUACGGGAGGCAGCAGUGGGAAUUUUACGCAAUGGGCGAAAGCCUGACGUAGCGACACCGCGUGAGCGAAGAAGCCCCUUGGGGUGUUAAAGCUCUGUCAGUCUGGAACGAAAAAAUGACGGUACCAGCAGAGGAAGCAUCGGCUAACUACGUG